AUUGAACGCUGGCGGCAGGCCUAACACAUGCAAGUCGAACGAGUGGCGGACGGGUGAGUAAUGUCUGGGAAACUGGCCGAUGGAGGGGGAUAACUACGGGAAACGGUAGCUAAUACCGCGUACCAUAGGAUGAGCCCAAGUGGGAUUAGGUAGUUGGUGAGGUAAAGGCUCACCAAGCCGACGAUCACUAGCUGGUCUGAGAGGAUGACCAGCCACACGGGAACUGAGAAACGGCCCAGAAUCCGACGGGAGGCAGCAGUGGGGAAGAUUGCGCAAUGGGGGAAACCCGGACGCAGCCAUGCCGCGUGAAUGAAGAAGGCCUUAGGGUUGUAAAGUACUUUCGGAGAGGAGGCGUUAACUACAGAAGAAGCACCGGCUAACUCCGUGCCAGCAGCCGCGGUAAUAC
rnacentral:rRNA from 1 species